rnacentral:rRNA from 1 species
CACGUAGGGUGCGAGCGUUGUCCGGAAUUAUUGGGCGUAAAGAGCUCGUAGGCGGUUUGUCGCGUCUGCUGUGAAAACUGGAGGCUCAACCUCCAGCCUGCAGUGGGUACGGGCAAACUAGAGUGCGGUAGGGGAGAUUGGAAUUCCUGGUGUAGCGGUGGAAUGCGCAGAUAUCAGGAGGAACACCGAUGGCGAAGGCAGAUCUCUGGGCCGUAACUGACGCUGAGGAGCGAAAGCAUGGGGAGCGAACAGG